UACAACGCGAGCGGAAAUGAAUUUUAAACCAAUGCGCAUGUGCGUGCGUCGUUGAGUUUUGUCUUGCUUCUACAACGCGGCGUCUUUGCUUAAUCCCACGUCGUCCUAGAUCGAAGGUGGAAUUUUUCACAAAAAAAGUUUUAAACAAGGCAAGAAAAUGGCAGAACAGUUUUCAUCAGCAUCAAGUGAUUGCUCAUCAAGCACACCACUAAAUUCAUCGUGAUUUAAAUUAAUUGUUUAGCUAAAUUAACAUCCAGUGGCUUUGAAAUUUGUCUUACUUUGUAAUAACGGUACUGAUAUAUCAAUUUUGGCCACUAUAUAUUUCUAAAUUGUUCUUUGAACGCGAAAUAUCAUACAAAAGCGCAAA